rnacentral:rRNA from 1 species
UACGGGGGGGAGCAAGCGUUGUUCGGAUUUACUGGGCGUAAAGGGCGCGUAGGCGGUCAGCACAAGUCAGUUGUGAAAUCUCCGGGCUUAACUCGGAAAGGUCAACUGAUACUGUGCGACUAGAGUGCAGAAGGGGCAACUGGAAUUCUCGGUGUAGCGGUGAAAUGCGUAGAUAUCGAGAGGAACACCUGCGGCGAAGGCGGCUCGCUGGGCCGGUCCUGACGCUGAGACGCGAAGGCGUGGGGAGCGAACGGG